rnacentral:miRNA from 1 species
UAGGUUGGUGCAAAAGUAAUUGUGGUCUUUGCUAUUAGUUUUAUAUAUCAAAAACUGCAAUCACUUUUGCACCAACCUAAUA